rnacentral:lncRNA from 1 species
AUGAAAUGACAGAGCCAAAGAAAUCAGGAAGAAAGCAAAACCUAGCUUAAUGGUCGUAGAAGGGGAUUAGGUCCCUGCACCAAGAGGAGCGAGUAGAAAAGGCUCAGCUCGCAGCAGUCUCCAGACAAGUAGUGGUUGGCCGGCGCUCAGCAGCAGCUACACUGCAUGUUCGCGUGUUGUGGCGGUGGCGGUGGGAGGCCUGGAACUUUGGGCACGAUCCGGAAUGAGGGAAGAAUCCAGCCCUUCGGCUCAGACACUUUAAAGCUUAAAGAGGACAGCAAUCAGGUUGGGGUAUCCUUUGCUGUAGUGGGUCCUUGUGGGAGAGAUAUAAACAGGAGGCUGAGUCAGGGUGCGGAUAUUUCCUCACAUAGGCCCAUCCUCUGGCCCAGUGGCAUUCACGUCGGGGUCUUGUGGGGCUUUGUAGUGUCCAUCCAUUCUGGGAGGCAACAAGUGAAACUGCAGGAUGGGGUUGUUGCUUGUAAUUGGCCAGAACAGAAACCAGGGAACGUGUCCUGGUGGGGCUGACCCUAAAGAAGGCUUUGCAUAUAGGGUAGAAAAACAUUGAGGAAAAACUCUAUUCUUUUGGAAUCCAAAUGCCCCUUUCUAGUGUCUUCACCGCUCUCCCUGCAAGCGGAUUUCUCAAAGGAUACAUGCUGGGGUGUUGAAGACUCGUGGGAGAGGGCUCUGGGCAGGGGUGGUCAAUGUGGAGAUAUUUUCAGAGGACUAACUGAUAAAGAAUAGAAUGUGCUCCCUAAUUUCCGAUUGCCUCCUGUACUUAGACAAUGCCUUCCAUCCAAUCCAUCCUCCGGCCGGUGGAGGCCCUAGCUUGUCCAGUUGGAGCGGAUUUCAGGAACAGAGGAAAAUGGGGGCUCUCAAGCCCUCCUCAGCUUCCCUCCGUCGCCCUUCCUGAUUAGCUGUGUAUCCCCGAGCCCAACUUCAGUCGCUCUAGACUCUGUCUGAGUCCCCACAGGAGACGGAGCGCUGCGACCCAGGGCAGGAGGGGCGGCCAGGCCACCUAUUCCUGGGUUUUGCAUCCCUCGGGCCCCUGGGGGGGUGGGGAGCGCCGACAGGAUAGGCAUCCAUCGCCUCCUCCAGGCCCAAUUCUCCGUGUCUAGCAGCCUCGGUUCCUCUCCGCCCCCCUUUCCCUCCCAGCGGCGGCCUCCCUCCUCCUCCCCC